UCCUUGGUGGUCCAGUGGUUAGGACUUGGCGCUCUCACUGCCGAGGCCCCAGGUUCAAACCCUGGUCGGGGAA